CCCGCCGCUGCCACGUUGAAGAAGAGUCACCAAGCCGGCGAACUUUGAUCAGUAUUGCAUCAUUGCCUGUUCAAGCAUUAGCAAGUACAGUCAAUGAGGAAAAUCUACCGGAUCUGAAGUACCAAUUCGAUACAAUUGAUGUUGAUAAGUGGACCAAUUACUGUAUUGAAGAAAUACAGCAUUGGCCCUUGUGAAGGAUCUUCACACUAAAGGCUCCUCAUGUUCUCAAGAUUAUUCAAGCAAGCAAGCAAUAUACUGUAUCUCUCAAGCAAUUUACUCAUACGUGUGAUUGGAAAGACGACAACCAUUUGUUCUACGACACUACUAUCUGACAGGUACU